rnacentral:lncRNA from 1 species
UCAGAGAUGUAAAGCUUGCAGCAGAUCACCUUGGAGUGCUUUGCCUUCACGUUUGCCUUUGUAGCAGAUGAACAAGAUAGGUAUUCAGGUGAGGUUAAACUGAAAUUUCAUGUUUUUUUUUAAUUUUGAAAUAGUACUGGAUGGCUUAAUUCAUACUCCGUUCCUAAAUAUAAGUCUUUUUAGACAUUCCAAUAGAGGACUACAUACGACACAAAAUGAAUGAAACUACACUCUAAAAUACGUCUAUAUACAUCCGCAUGUAGUCCAAUAGUGAAAUCUUUAAAAAAAAAUAGGAACGGAGGGAGUAGUAUCUAGUACAUGUAUCUGAUCGCAUAAUCGAUCCAAAAACAGCAGAAAUCAGCUAGUUUUAGCAUCUGUACGAGAACCUCAGCAGAUUUUCUUUUCAUGUGACCACAAGAAGCAGGAAUUAGAAAGUUCAGAUACCGCUGAAUAACUCAGGUUUUUCGCACUCUGUCUGUUCUACNUCACUCUCUCUCCCUCUGCUUGUGGGGAAUGGAAUGGAGUGGUAGAGAAUGCCUUCUUGUUAUGAACUCAUGGUUAUAUGUAUCAAAAAGUUGCUUGCAAGAAACCUUUUUGUUCCGAGUAAGCCCCAACCUUGCAAGGACGGAGCAUGUGCUCUUCAGCUUUAUGACUCAGCAGCCUACAUCUACAUAUACUUGCAUAGCUAUCUUUGGUACCACACUACUGCAGCAUGCCACCGGCCAUCUUUGGAAACAUUAUUCUUAUACACAUGGUAACCUGUGAUUGCCCUCUUAAACCGCAUCACCCGUUGAAUCCCUUGAUUCAUUUAUACAUAAUAAAUCUUGUCUCUUACUCUUUGCCGUGGACCCAAUUUCAUUACUUGUGGAUAAUGACUUUUUUUUCAGUAUAAUGAAAUCUUGUGUGUUAUGUUACCCCCCAUCCAUCUAGGUGGCCAGUACAAUGUCAUUGUCCGCCUUGAGGGACACGUACGGUUGCGUCGAAGACCAUCACCAGAAGGGACGGGAAUUAAUGGGAUGAUAGCUUUCUGCAUCACGAAAUCAUCUAUGUUUGCCAGUGAUAAAUGCCGCGCGAGGAUCAACCAGUGACAUUCAUGUUGAUUAUUUGCUGCUUUUAUGCGUUACUGGCUAUCAAUUAAUUUCCUGAAACCGUGCUAACUGAAACUAAUCAGUCUGUGUG